GACGUAGGGCGCGAGCGUUGUCCGGAUUUAUUGGACGUAAAGAGCUCGUAGGCGGUUUGUCGCGUCGUUCGUGAAAACUCACAGCUUAACUGUGAGCUUGCGGUCGAUACGGGCAGGCUAGAGUUCGGUAGGGGAGACUGGAAUUCCUGGUGUAGCGGUGAAAUGCGCAGAUAUCAGGAGGAACACCGGUGGCGAAGGCGGUUCUCUGGGCAUGACCUGACGCUGAGGAGCGAAAGUGUGGGGAGCGAACAGG
rnacentral:rRNA from 1 species